GACGAACGCUGGCGGCGUGCUUAACACAUGCAAGUCGAACGGCAAGGCCCUGCUUUUGUGGGGUGCUCGAGUGGCGAACGGGUGAGUAACACGUGAGUAACCUGCCCUUGACUUUGGGAUAACUUCAGGUAACUGGGGCUAAUACCGGAUAGGAGCUCCUGCUGCAUGGUGGGGGUUGGAAAGUUUCGGCGGUUGGGGAUGGACUCGCGGCUUAUCAGCUUGUUGGUGGGGUAGUGGCUUACCCAGGCUUUGACGGGUAGCCGGCCUGAGAGGGUGACCGGCCUCAUGGGGACUGAGAUACGGCGCAGACUCCUACGGGAGGCAACAGUGGGGAAUAUUGCACAAUGGGCGGAAGCCUGAGGCAGAAACGCCGCGUGCGGGAUGACGGCCUUCGGGUUGUAAACCGCUUUCGCCUGUGACGAAGCGUGAGUGACGGUAAUGGGUAAAGAAGCACCGGCUAACUACGUG
rnacentral:rRNA from 1 species